rnacentral:rRNA from 1 species
ACACAUGCAAGUCGAGCGCGAAAGGCUUUCGGGCUGAGUAGAGCGGCGGACGGGUGAGUAACGCGUAGGAAUCUACCUGGUAGUGGGGGACAACUUGGGGAAACUCAAGCUAAUACCGCAUACGCCCUAUGGGGGAAAGUGGGGGACCUUCGGGCCUCACGCUAUCGGAUGAGCCUGCGUAGGAUUAGCUAGUUGGUAGGGUAAAGGCCUACCAAGGCGACGAUCCUUAACUGGUCUGAGAGGAUGAUCAGUCACACUGGAACUGAGACACGGUCCAGACUCCUACGGGAGGCAGCAGUGGGGAAUAUUGGACAAUGGGCGCAAGCCUGAUCCAGCCAUGCCGCGUGUGUGAAGAAGGCCUUCGGGUUGUAAAGCACUUUCACUUGGGAUGAAAAGUUCACCGUUAAUAGCGGUGAGCCGUGACAUUACCUUGAGAGAAGCACCGGCUAACUCCGUGCCAGCAGCCGCGGUAAUACG